AUUGAACGCUGGCGGCAGGCCUAACACAUGCAAGUCGAACGAGUGGCGGACGGGUGAGUAAUGUCUGGGAAACUGCCCGAUGGAGGGGGAUAACUACUGGAAACGGUAGCUAAUACCGCAUACCAUCGGAUGUGCCCAGACGGGAUUAGCUAGUGGGUGGGGUAAAGGCUAACCUAGGCGACGAUCCCUAGCUGGUCUGAGAGGAUGACCAGCCACACGGUAACUGGGACACGGUCCAGACUCCUACGGGAGGCAGCAGUGGGGAAUAUUGGACAAUGGGCGCAAGCCUGAUGCAGCCAUGCCGCGUGUAUGAAGAAGGCCUUCGGGUUGUAAAGUACUUUCAGCGGGGAGGCGUUACCCGCAGAAUAAGCACCGGCUAACUCCGUGCCAGCAGCCGCGGUAAUUC
rnacentral:rRNA from 1 species